UUCCGGUUGAUCCUGCCGGAGGCCACUGCUAUGGGGGUCCGACUAAGCCAUGCGAGUCAUGGGGCGCCUUGCGCGCACCGGCGGACGGCUCAGUAACACGUCGGUAACCUACCCUCGGGAGGGGGAUAACCCCGGGAAACUGGGGCUAAUCCCCCAUAGGCCUGAGGUACUGGAAGGUCCUCAGGCCGAAAGGGGCUUUGCCCGCCCGAGGAUGGGCCGGCGGCCGAUUAGGUAGUUGGUGGGGUAACGGCCCACCAAGCCGAAGAUCGGUACGGGCCAUGAGAGUGGGAGCCCGGAGAUGGACACUGAGACACGGGUCCAGGCCCUACGGGGCGCAGCAGGCGCGAAACCUCCGCAAUGCGGGCAACCGCGACGGGGGGACCCCCAGUGCCGUGGCAUCGCCACGGCUUUUCCGGAGUGUAAAAAGCUCCGGGAAUAAGGGCUGGGCAAGGCCGGUGGCAGCCGCCGCGGUAAUACCGGCGGCCCGAGUGGUGGCCGCUAUUAUUGGGCCUAAAGCGUCCGUAGCCGGGCCUGUAAGUCCCUGGCGAAAUCCCACGGCUCAACCGUGGGGCUUGCUGGGGAUACUGCAGGCCUUGGGACCGGGAGAGGCCGGGGGUACCCCUGGGGUAGGGGUGAAAUCCUAUAAUCCCAGGGGGACCGCCAGUGGCGAAGGCGCCCGGCUGGAACGGGUCCGACGGUGAGGGACGAAGGCCAGGGGAGCGAACCGGAUUAGAUACCCGGGUAGUCCUGGCUGUAAAGGAUGCGGGCUAGGUGUCGGACGAGCUUCGAGCUCGUCCGGUGCCGAAGGGAAGCCGUUAAGCCCGCCGCCUGGGGAGUACGGCCGCAAGGCUGAAACUUAAAGGAAUUGGCGGGGGAGCACUACAAGGGGUGGAGCGUGCGGUUUAAUUGGAUUCAACGCCGGGAACCUCACCGGGGGCGACGGCAGGAUGAAGGCCAGGCUGAAGGUCUUGCCGGACACGCCGAGAGGAGGUGCAUGGCCGCCGUCAGCUCGUACCGUGAGGCGUCCACUUAAGUGUGGCAACGAGCGAGACCCA
rnacentral:rRNA from 1 species